GACAGAGGUGCCGAGCGUUAGGCGGAAUCACUGGGCUUAAAGCGUGUGUAGGCGGGCCGUUAAGUGUCUUGUGAAAUCCCCCGGCUCAACCGGGGAACUGCUGGGCAUACUGGCGGCCUUGAGAGACCUAGGGGCGAGCGGAACAAGCGGUGGAGCGGUGAAAUGCGCAGAUAUCAGGAGGAACACCAAUGGCGAAGGCAGAUCUCUGGGCCGUAACUGACGCUGAGGAGCGAAAGCAUGGGGAGCGAACAGG
rnacentral:rRNA from 1 species